GCUGGCAGCUAGCUCUCUGCAACUCUCACAUGGUCGCUGAAGCUAAACAGGGCUGCGCCCAGUCAGUACCUGGAUGGGAGACCACGUGGGAAAGUUAGGUUGCUGCCGAAA
rnacentral:rRNA from 1 species